GUGGGGAAUAUUGGACAAUGGGCGCAAGCCUGAUCCAGCCAUGCCGCGUGAGUGAUGAAGGCCCUAGGGUUGUAAAGCUCUUUCACCGGUGAAGAUAAUGACGGUAACCGGAGAAGAAGCCCCGGCUAACUUCGUGCCAGCAGCCGCGGUAAUACGAAGGGGGCUAGCGUUGUUCGGAAUUACUGGGCGUAAAGCGCACGUAGGCGGACAUUUAAGUCAGGGGUGAAAUCUCGGGGCUCAACCCCGGAACUGCCUUUGAUACUGGGUGUCUGGAGUAUGGAAGAGGUAAGUGGAAUUCCGAGUGUAGAGGUGAAAUUCGUAGAGAUUCGGAGGAACACCAGUGGCGAAGGCGGCUUACUGGUCCAUUACUGACGCUGAGGUGCGAAAGCGUGGGGAGCAAACAGGAUUAGAAACCCCGGUAGUCC
rnacentral:rRNA from 1 species